GGGCAGUUAGCUCAGCGGUAGAGCAUCCCGUUUACACCGGGACGGUCGGGAGUUCGAUCCUCUCACUGCCCACCA
rnacentral:tRNA from 2 species